rnacentral:rRNA from 1 species
AUUGAACGCUGGCGGUAUGCUUAACACAUGCAAGUCGAACGGUAGCAGGCCUUCGGGCGCUGACGAGUGGCGGACGGGUGAGUAACGCGUAGGAAUCUGCCUCAUAGUGGGGGACAACGUGUGGAAACGCACGCUAAUACCGCAUACGCCCUACGGGGGAAAGCGGGGGACCUUCGGGCCUCGCGCUAUGAGAUGAGCCUGCGUUAGAUUAGCUAGUUGGUAGGGUAAAGGCCUACCAAGGCGACGAUCUAUAGCUGGUCUGAGAGGACGAUCAGCCACACUGGGACUGAGACACGGCCCAGACUCCUACGGGAGGCAGCAGUGGGGAAUAUUGGACAAUGGGCGCAAGCCUGAUCCAGCAAUACCGCGUGUGUGAAGAAGGCCCUAGGGUUGUAAAGCACUUUCAAUAGGGAGGAAAACCUGUCGGUCCAUACCCGGCAGCUUGACAUUACCUAUACAAGAAGCACCGGCUAACUCCGUGCCAGCAGCCGCGGUAAUAC